UGCCACUCCUCCUUCCUUCUUUUUCUUUUUUCCUUUUUCCUCUUCCUUAUUUCCUCUGCUCUGACAUUGGCCCUCCAUAGGCUGUAGUCCCUCUGGGGAACUGCUGUGGAGUCAGUGAGAACUGGCUUAGGGCAGUCCUCCCACCACCACCCCCUACCACCAAAAUCUUGCUACAGACACCCAAUACAGCCUAAAAUCAUCUUAGCUGAGCAGAACACCUGAACCACAUAGCAUAAAACUGGAAGAGAUUUCCUGGGCUGUUGUGUUCCAUGUCCUAGUCAGUUAUAUCAAAGAGUAACCCUUUCACAUCCAUCUUGAAACCAGUGCAACAGGAGAUGCCUAUGAGAGAACGCUCAAGUCACUGGAAUGGACAGCAGUCACCAUUUUCUUGGUUAGGAAAGGGAAGCUUUAAGGAAGUUUGGGAAAAGCAGAAGGAAAAAAAAAAAACAACAAAACAUGUAUACAAUACAGUAAUUUGCAAUGGAACAAAAAGUGUCAGUCUGGUUGUUAUUUCCGGGAAAUAAAUUUUUGGCUUAGUGGCAAGGCCACUAGGAAAUCCCAUAGAAGUGUUAGACCAUGAACAUAUUUGGUAACUGUUCUUGAAAGGAAACCCUAAAGGCAAACAACUUGUUUUGUGAAUACCCUAUGAAAUUGGAGAGAACCUCAAAUAGCCCCUGCAGUUCCGGAAAUAUUGGAGGAUACAGAUGUUGCGUGAAUAAAUUGGUUGAGUGCCUGGAAGGAGAAUGAUCCUGAUUCUUGAAUGAGACAAUCCACUUGAUAGAAAAAUAAAUAAUUGUGAGGAAGAAUGUUAAGAAAGUAUGUCUGCUUUCAUACUGAGGCCAGGAAAGACUUUCUUGUGUGUGUGUUUACGUCUUACUUUAAAGGAUUCCAUUCUCAUGUGUUGAUGUUAAAAUCAAGUACCAGACAAACCAAUGGCAAUUGAAAAAUAAUUUGAGAUAAUCAAACUCAUAAUCUUGAAACCAUAUCAUCAUGUGAUUCUUUUCUCAGAAGAAAGGAGGGCUUUUUUUAGGAUAAAUAAAUGGAUAGCUAUUAAGAGCAGAAUUUGUUUCAUCCUGGAGUUGUGCUUGAGGUCAUUGCAUAUUUUUUCAAUGGGAGAAUGAAAAGAAUGUGAAACAUAUGAAAUUCAAAGGUAAAAUGCACGAGGAAAGGUGUUGGACUAUUUUCUUGUUCAGAAUGUAUAUUCCUCCACUUUUAUUUCAACAGCUAAGAGACAAUCCAGAUGUGAAUUUUGGCUUUUAGAAAGUCCAUGUAAUAACUGGUGUGGAAAUGAUCUCUGUUCUGAAGCUGUUUACUCAUUCCCUUGCUGUUCACCACUGGCUACUCUCAGAAGAUAUUUGCUAAAUAUCCUUUUUGUCUUGCCAAGUACAGCUGUUCUGACACAGAAUUUUCAAAUUUAUGUGGGGAUACAUGCCUGCAGGUUAGUCUAUGUGAUAUGUCAUAAUGUCUCUUGAAAGGAACAUCUUCAGUAUCUGCCGAAAGAGGUCCGGCUGAGCCACGAAGUGGGGUGUCUGUGGCCUCAAAU
rnacentral:lncRNA from 7 species